UUGAUUAUUUUGUUUGUUUUCUCAGACGGUUUCUGGUGGUUGAGAUAUAAAGGUUCGUAGGGCCCGCCGCCCCCGGCGGGCGGGGCGGGGAGGCCGUUUCGGGCCCCCCCGUCCCCCCCGCCGGAAGCAACGAGAACAGAAUGGGUACGGUUCGCAAGGGUUGGGAGUUGUGAAAACUCUGUAAUGAUCCCUCCGCUGGUUCACCAACGGAGA
rnacentral:misc_RNA from 1 species